CUGUCUGCAGGGACCAGCACCGGAAUACAGAAAGGUGAAUUUGGCUUGGUAUAAGAGAAGCAAAUUGGUUCUAAAAAUGGAGGUGAGGAGAAUCUAUUCCACCAAACAGCCAAAGGGCCAAGAAGUUGGAUGCCCACCUCCUAGAAGAUUGCCAUCCCUUAGGACUUGGUGAAUGCUGUGGAGACACAUGUUCUGUCUGGAGCAAGCCAUUUAGUCCAAUAAGCACACUGUUCGUUUCAGCAAAAUAAAAAUAUCCCAUGGAAAAUCCAA